rnacentral:lncRNA from 1 species
CAAAAGGCACAACCCUCCUCAAACACACAUCCAUCCUCCGGCACACACCCAGUCCAUGCCUCGCCCCCACACACACCUGACACCCCAGUGCAACACCACACCCACCCUCCCCUCCCUGCAAACUCCCACCUCCGCCCACCUGCUUAAUACACAUUCUCACCCCCCACACACUCCUUAAUACAUACUCUCACACCCACAAGCCUGCCUUCUUGGAGAAGUGAGCCGAGCCGUGCAGCGCCGCGAAGGGGUAAGUUGCAAGCACUGGGGGCAGCCUGUUCUGGGAGGUGAGAAGGAGGGCGGCUCCGUGCACUCACUCGCUAGGCGGUGGCGUUAGAGCUCCCGGGGCUCCGCAGACCGAUUUAGCUCGGCUGGGGAGGGAGGUGGAGAUGGGGACUGGGGGUGGGGGACGCAGGAGAGGGUAGAAUCCAGCCCCACAAGCGGCGGCGAUGCUAAUCAGGCCGCUAAGAUGGAAAAGCAUCCCCGAAGACCGGGAGGAACGCCGCGGGGACCUGUGGCUUAGCGCGCUCCGCCCGGGCUUGUCUGCCCGCGGGGGCGCAGCGGCUGAGGCGGCUCCGGGCCGGAGUUCCAAUCAAGCGCCACCCAACUCCCAGUCGGGGGCCGAGGCCAGCGCCGGGAUGCCAGCUUCCCCCAAAAAGAUCCUGCCUCAGGGAAAUGCAUGGAGCCGGCGGAAAAGCCCGCGGCGCCCCCGGCGGAUCGCAGACCCUAAGGGGGCGGGAGGUGGCGCCCCAGUCCCAACCUCUUGAGCCAACCCAGUGGGUGGGAAGUGCCCUUACCCUAGGCCUUCCGCAAAGUGUUCUCUCCUUGUAUUAUUCUAAUUACGGUAUUUUUAAUUUCCUUAAAAAAAUAAGAAACAGAAAAGCACAGAACGCA